rnacentral:rRNA from 1 species
CAAGUCGAACGGCAGCGGGGGCUUCGGCCUGCCGGCGAGUGGCGAACGGGUGAGUAACGCAUCGGAACGUGCCCAUGUCGUGGGGGAUAACGUAGCGAAAGCUACGCUAAUACCGCAUACGCCCUGAGGGGGAAAGCGGGGGAUUCUUCGGAACCUCGCGCGAUUGGAGCGGCCGAUGUCGGAUUAGCUAGUAGGUGAGGUAAAGGCUCACCUAGGCGACGAUCCGUAGCGGGUCUGAGAGGAUGAUCCGCCACACUGGGACUGAGACACGGCCCAGACUCCUACGGGAGGCAGCAGUGGGGAAUUUUGGACAAUGGGCGCAAGCCUGAUCCAGCCAUGCCGCGUGAGUGAAGAAGGCCUUCGGGUUGUAAAGCUCUUUCGGCCGGGAAGAAAUCGUGGUCUCUAACAUAGGCCAUGGAUGACGGUACCGGACUAAGAAGCACCGGCUAACUACGUGCCAGCAGCCGCGGUAAUACGUAGGGUGCGAGCGUUAAUCGGAAUUACUGGGCGUAAAGCGUGCGCAGGCGGUUUUGUAAGACAGAUGUGAAAUCCCCGGGCUUAACCUGGGAACUGCGUUUGUGACUGCAAGGCUAGAGUACGGCAGAGGGGGGUGGAA